AAUAGAUACCCGGGUAGUCCAUGCCGUAAACGUUGGGAACUAGAUGUGGGGACCAUUCCACGGUCUCCGUGUCGCAGCUAACGCAUUAAGUUCCCCGCCUGGGGAGUACGGCCGCAAGGCUAAAACUCAAAGGAAUUGACGGGGGCCCGCACAAGCGGCGGAGCAUGCGGAUUAAUUCGAUGCAACGCGAAGAACCUUACCAAGGCUUGACAUAUACCGGAAACGUCUGGAAACAGUCGCCCCGCAAGGUCGGUAUACAGGUGGUGCAUGGUUGUCGUCAGCUCGUGUCGUGAGAUGUUGGGUUAAGUCCCGCAACGAGCGCAACCCUCGUUCUAUGUUGCCAGCACGUGAUGGUGGGGACUCAUAGGAGACUGCCGGGGUCAACUCGGAGGAAGGUGGGGAUGAGGUCAAAUCAUCAUGCCCCUUAUGUCUUGGGCUUCACGCAUGCUACAAUGGCCGGUACAAAGGGCAGCAAUACCGCGAGGUGGAGCGAAUCCCAAAAAGCCGGUCUCAGUUCGGAUUGAGGUCUGCAACUCGA
rnacentral:rRNA from 1 species